AGUGAACGCUGGCGGUAGGCCUAACACAUGCAAGUCGAACGGCAGCACAGUAAGAGCUUGCUCUUACGGGUGGCGAGUGGCGGACGGGUGAGGAAUACAUCGGAAUCUACUUUUUCGUGGGGGAUAACGUAGGGAAACUUACGCUAAUACCGCAUACGACCUACGGGUGAAAGCAGGGGAUCUUCGGACCUUGCGCGUUUGAAUGAGCCGAUGUCGGAUUAGCUAGUUGGCGGGGUAAAGGCCCACCAAGGCGACGAUCCGUAGCUGGUCUGAGAGGAUGAUCAGCCACACUGGAACUGAGACACGGUCCAGACUACUACGGGAGGCAGCAGUGGGGAAUAUUGGACAAUGGGCGCAAGCCUGAUCCAGCCAUACCGCGUGGGAGAAGAAGGCCUUCGGGUUGUAAAGCCCUUUUGUUGGGAAAGAAAAGAAGCAGGUUAAUACCCCGCUGUUCUGACGGUACCCAAAGAAUAAGCACCGGCUAACUUCGUG
rnacentral:rRNA from 1 species